rnacentral:rRNA from 1 species
UACGGGGGGGGGCAAGCGUUGUUCGGAAUUACUGGGCGUAAAGGGCUGGUAGGCGGCCAACUAAGUCCGACGUGAAAUCCCAAGGCUUAACCUUGGAACUGCGUCGGAUACUGGAUGGCUUGAAUUCGGGAGAGGGAUGCGGAAUUCCAGGUGUAGCGGUGAAAUGCGCAGAUAUCAGGAGGAACACCGGUGGCGAAGGCGGGUCUCUGGGCCGAUACUACGUGAGGAGCGAAAAGCGUGGGGGAGCGAACAGG